UGGGGAAUCUUGCGCAAUGCGCGAAAGCGUGACGCAGCAACGCCGCGUGGGGGAAGAAGGCCUUCGGGUUGUAAACCCCUUUCAGUUGGGACGAAGCUUCGUCGGUGAAUAGCCGGCUGGAGUGACGGUACCUUCACAAGAAGCCCCGGCUAACUACGUGCCAGCAGCCGCGGUAAUACGUAGGGGGCUAGCGUUGUCCGGAAUCAUUGGGCGUAAAGCGCGUGUAGGCGGCCCGGUAAGUCCGCUGUGAAAGUCGGGGGCUCAACCCUCGAAAGCCGGUGGAUACUGUCGGGCUCGAGUACGGAAGAGGCGAGUGGAAUUCCUGGUGUAGCGGUGAAAUGCGCAGAUAUCAGGAGGAACACCAAUUGCGAAGGCAGCUCGCUGGGACGUUACUGACGCUGAGACGCGAAAGCGUGGGGAGCAAACAG
rnacentral:rRNA from 1 species